ACGCCCUUUGCGGCGGCUAACACAUGCAGUCGAGCGCGCCUUCGGGUGAGCGGCGGACGGGUUAGUAACGCGUGGGAACGUGCCCUUCUCUACGGAAUAGCCUCUGGAAACGGAGAGUAAUACCGUAUACGCCCUUUGGGGGAAAGAUUUAUCGGAGAAGGAUCGGCCCGCGUUAGAUUAGGUAGUUGGUGGGGUAACGGCCUACCAAGCCUACGAUCUAUAGCUGGUUUUAGAGGAUGAUCAGCAACACUGGGACUGAGACACGGCCCGGACUCCUACGGGAGGCAGCAGUGGGGAAUCUUAGACAAUGGGCGCAAGCCUGAUCUAGCCAUGCCGCGUGAGUGACGAAGGCCCUAGGGUCGUAAAGCUCUUUCGCCUGUGAAGAUAAUGACGGUAGCAGGUAAAGAAACCCCGGCUAACUCCGUGCCAGCAGCCGCGGUAAUACGGAGGGGGUUAGCGUUGUUCGGAAUUACUGGGCGUAAAGCGCACGUAGGCGGAUCAGAAAGUUGGGGGUGAAAUCCCGGGGCUCAACCCCGGAACUGCCUCCAAAACUUCUGGUCUGGAGUUCGAGAGAGGUGAGUGGAAUUCCGAGUGUAGAGGUGAAAUUCGUAGAUAUUCGGAGGAACACCAGUGGCGAAGGCGGCUCACUGGCUCGAUACUGACGCUGAGGUGCGAAAGUGUGGGGAGCAAACAGGAUUAGAUACCCUGGUAGUCCACACCGUAAACGAUGAAUGCCAGUCGUCGGCGCGCAUGCGUGUCGGUGACACACCUAACGGAUUUAAGCAUUCCGCCUGGGGAGUACGGCCGCAAGGUUAAAACUCAAAGGAAUUGACGGGGGCCCGCACAAGCGGUGGAGCAUGUGGUUUAAUUCGAAGCAACGCGCAGAACCUUUACCAACCCUUGACAUCCUGUGCUACAUCCAGAGAUGGAUGGUUCUCUUUCGGGGACGCAGUGACAGUGCUGCAUGGCUUGUCGUCAGCUCGUGUCGUGAGAUGUUCGGGUUAAGUCCGGCAACGAGCGCAACCCACAAUCCCUAGUUGCCAGCAGUUCGCUGGCACUCUUAUGGAACUGUCCGUGUAUUAGCGGGAGAGUGUUGAUGACGGUCAAGUUCUUCAUGCCCUACGGUUGGGCUCACACUGCCUACAUGUAGUGACAAUGGUUAAUCCAAGCUAAUCUCAGUCGGAUGAGUCGUCAACUCGACCGGCAUGAAGUCUGAAACUCGUCGUAGAUA
rnacentral:rRNA from 1 species